UCCAAGGAAUGCACACAACAAUCACAGGGCCAGAUGCUGCUAAAGCAGGGCAGGUGGCCCCAGGGAAGAGCUCGCUGGGGGCUGGAAGGUGGGGCUAUCCCACUACAGCCGAAGCCAGGAUCCUGAGAAGUAGAAGCCUCACUGUCUUGAAGUUCAUUCCCCUUUCUUCUCUGAAAUGGACACGUUAAGAUGAGGAUACCGUAGAUCAGAGAUGAUCCAAGUGUCCAUUCAUGUCCAUGAUACCUUUCAAAUCAAAAUGAACAACUAGAUGUCCCCACUGCUCUGGAUAGAGCAAAAGGGCAAAGAGAGGAAGAGGCCAAAGGAACAGCAGAGGGAUGAGAACCGAGGAGGAGAAACUAUGGGAAAGAAAAGAAACACUGCAGAGCUGGUAGUAAUAAGCAGCAGGGGCAAAAAUGGAAAACAGUCCAUCAGAAAUAGCUUUUGAAAAUGGAAGCUGGGUGGAUCGGUCACCCCGAACACAUUUGCCUUGGGUAUCCAGUGAGUCAACUUCUGGAAGCUGGCUUGCCUUUGGAUGGACAGGAAGUUGACAAUGGCGUGGUGAAUUUCUUCUUAAAGAGUAGAACACAGGAAAACAUCCAAAAAAGAAAAGAUCUCACCAUUUCCUUUAUUUAUUCUCACUUCAUAUGUACUAAACUAUCUUCAAGUUGAACGAAUUCCCAAGAAACUAAACAAGCAAGCACACUGCUCAGACCAGUUCUGGCAUGCCCAGUUCUGUGUGAGCCAAUGGCAAUCCUGAGGUAAAUAACUCAGUUCCACACUUCUCUGAGGAAAAGAUUAUAAUUGAAUAUUACCAUGGAAGCAUAUGCUUGUGAUGGCUUUAAAGAUAUAUAUUUUAAAAGGUUUGGAUUUUAGGGCUAAGCUGAAAUAAAGACAGGUGCCUUUCUCUGCCAUUCUUUGCCUUCUCUUCUGCACUCCCCUUCUUGUAUGUACAGAUCAAAUGUUCGUUCACACCCCCACACAUAUUCAACAUUCUGAACCAAACUGCACGUCUGUGGGGACAAUUGAACAGUAUUGGAGACUUUGCUGC